rnacentral:rRNA from 1 species
AUUGAACGCUGGCGGCAGGCUUAACACAUGCAAGUCGAGCGAGCGGCGGACGGGUGAGUAAUGUCUGGGAAACUGCCUGAUGGAGGGGGAUAACUACUGGAAACGGUAGCUAAUACCGCAUACCAUCAGAUGUGCCCAGCUGGGAUUAGCUAGUAGGUGGGGUAAUGGCUCACCUAGGCGACGAUCCCUAGCGGGUCUGAGGGGAUGAACAGCCACACUGGAACGGAGGCACGGCCCAGACUCUUACGGGAGGAAGCAGUGGGGAAUAUUGCACAAGGGGCGCAAUCUGGAUGCAGCAAGGCGGCGUGUGGGAAGAAGGCCUUCGGGUUGUAAAGCACUUUCAGCGAGGAGGCGUUACUCGCAGAAGAAGCACCGGCUAACUCCGUGCCAGCAGCCGCGGUAAUUC